rnacentral:rRNA from 1 species
UACGAAGGGGGCUAGCGUUGUUCGGAUUUACUGGGCGUAAAGCGCACGUAGGCGGAUCGUUAAGUCGGGGGUGAAAUCCUGGAGCUCAACUCCAGAACUGCCUUCGAUACUGGCGAUCUUGAGUCCGGAAGAGGUGAGUGGAACUCCUAGUGUAGAGGUGGAAUUCGUAGAUAUUCGGAAGAACACCAGUGGCGAAGGCGGCUCACUGGCCCGGUACUGACGCUGAAAUACGAAAGCGUGGGGAGCAAACAGGG